rnacentral:rRNA from 1 species
CCGCCGCGCGCGGCGGGCUACGGGAGGCAGCAGUGGGGAAUAUUGCACAAUGGGCGCAAGCCUGAUGCAGCCAUGCCGCGUGUAUGAAGAAGGCCUUCGGGUUGUAAAGUACUUUCAGCGGGGAGGAAGGUGUUGAGGUUAAUAACCUCAGCAAUUGACGUUACCCGCAGAAGAAGCACCGGCUAACUCCGUGCCAGCAGCCGCGGUAAUA